rnacentral:lncRNA from 1 species
CUUGUUCAUUAGCCAUGGUGACAAAAUCUUCAGCAUGGAGAUGCAAUCAAGCAGCGAAAGAAAAACUAUAGCUAGGUUAUACUUCUCAAGAUCAUCUCCCAGGAUUGCCAAGAGCUUUUCAGGAAGCAAUGCAAAGAGCCCAUCAUCAAGAAAUCCAUUGAGAAGAGGGAAUUUUUGCUAAACCAUUUGAAUUGGAAAAGACACAUAACUGCAAUUUUUGCUGGUGUGAUUUUGCUCACAACUCCUAUAUUUGUG